rnacentral:piRNA from 1 species
UGGCAGAUCGUUAUGUUCACCUAAUUGUU